GUGGGUAUACCUCAGUGGUAGAGUGCCUGCUUAGCAUGCACGGGGUCCUGGGUUCAAUCCCUAGUACCUCCA
rnacentral:tRNA from 1 species